AAUAAUGAUGAGAAAUUGGGUGAAAUAUUUGGGUUUUCUUUAUGUACGAAAUAUUGACAAAAGAUUAAAUAUUUGGAUCUGGUGUGUGUUUAACAACAAAGGGGUUACAAUGCUGUUGACACAAGCCUUAGGCUGUAUUUGCAUUAUUUAUUAUUUGUACCACAACGCUCAUUAACGUGUGCAUACUUGAAUAGUGACUUCUCCAGAUUGUAAUUCAGCCAAUUAGAAACAAACACACAUAGAACACUGACCAAUGGGAUUCAUAACUGAGUUUCACGGGCCAGAUGUUAGAGGGAAACAAGACAGUUAGCGUUUAGACUUGGAGGUGUACGGAUCGAGAAAGAUACGAUCAUGUAGCUAUCAGACUGUAUUUGUAUAACCGAAAAUAUUAAGUAUGUUAGACAUUAAAUUGGACUAGAAACUGA